rnacentral:rRNA from 1 species
UACGUAGGUGGCAAGCGUUGUCCGGAAUCACUGGGCGUAAAGGGCGCGUAGGCGGUCAAUUAAGCCAGGUGUGAAAACUUCAGGCUUAACCUGGAGAUUGCAUCUGAAACUGGUAGACUUGAGUGCAGGAGAGGACAGUGGAAUUCCUAGUGUAGCGGUGAAAUGCGUAGAUAUUAGGAGGAACACCAGUGGCGAAGGCGGCUGUCUGGACUGUAACUGACGCUGAGGCGCGAAAGCGUGGGGAGCAAACAGGAUUAGA